rnacentral:rRNA from 1 species
GAUGAACGCUGGCGGCGUGCCUAAUACAUGCAAGUCGAGCGAACAGACGAGGAGCUUGCUCCUUCGACGUUAGCGGCGGACGGGUGAGUAACACGUAGGUAACCUACCUAUAAGACUGGGAUAACUUCGGGAAACCGGCGCUAAUACCGGAUAAUAUUUCGAACCGCAUGGUUCGAUAGUGAAAGAUGGCUUUGCUAUCACUUAUAGAUGGACCUGCGCCGUAUUAGCUAGUUGGUAAGGUAACGGCUUACCAAGGCAACGAUACGUAGCCGACCUGAGAGGGUGAUCGGCCACACUGGAACUGAGACACGGUCCAGACUCCUACGGGAGGCAGCAGUAGGGAAUCUUCAGCAAUGGGCGAAAGCCUGACGGAGCAACGCCGCGUGAGUGAUGAAGGUCUUCGGAUCGUAAAACUCUGUUAUUAGGGAAGAACAAACGUGUAAGUAACUGUGCACGUCUUGACGGUACCUAAUCAGAAAGCCACGGCUAACUACGUG